CAAAAACAAGAUCUACAAAAGCAUCAUGAUGAACAAGGAACCAUUUAAUCUGGUCUUGCUUUUUCUUUCCCAUCAGAAACACUUCAGACACAAGAAAAACUUCAGAAAUCUAAAAAUUACAAGGUUAUCAGGUCAACAGAAAGAAAAAGUCAAGAGGAUUUGUCAAGGACAUCUAAAAGUGGAAAUAUUUGGGAAUUGUGAAAAAGAGGACAUGACGUAGAUAUUUGGAAUAUACUCUACAUAGCCAACACUUCCACCCAGCUUUUCAACAACAACAACAACAACAACAAAAGGCUCCCUGCUCUCUCUGGUAUAAAUCAGCCCCAGUCACUCAACAGUCUGAAAGACACUGAGGCAAGGAUGGGUGAAAGACAAAGUUAUUUCAUAUUUCUAAUUUGAAGAUGAGAAUCGCAGUGAAAACUUUGGACAUACUUCUGAUUCAAUAAGCCUAUAAAAGCAGAAUGUAGAAAAGAGUAACACAGAGAAGAUUCAUGAAUGGCUCCAAGGAAAGAGACACUGGUUAUCAGCAUCUUGUGCAAGGGAUUGGCAUCAGUCCCACGUUCCAGUGAGUCCUCUGCCACACGGCUGUUCGAUGAUCUUGCAAGAAACUCAGGCUGUAUUUCUAAAACAAUGGCUUUGAAUCUGCAGUCCAAAAAUCCCUGAGAGUUCACGGCCCUUUUCUGGAAAUGUGAAGUUAACAAGAUAAUUCUCAAGAAGCAUAAAGUUGAUAUGCUGCCAUCUACAGCUUCACUGGAAAAAGAUUUAAGCUCUGCUCGCUGAGAAGGAUAAAGACUGCUGCUCUUCAUUAUCUGAUCUGACCAUCUUCAGUAGUCAUAUGGAUGCCGGAGAAAGUUUAAAGUAAAUAUAAGACUCAUCUGGCUGUGACUCAGUCUAGAAAAUAAAAACGUAUUAUUGCUUAAGAAAAUAGCCAGAAAAGAUAUGCAAAACUGUAGGGUGACUUUAGAGAGAAGUGUGGGAGCAAGUCUUUAGAGUCAUAUUGUACUCACAGCUGCUAUUUGGACAGAAAAGUGCAGUUUAGCCAUCUCUGUUUUUCACUCUAUUUCAUGUAAUCCAGAAUUCCACUUUUCAGGAGCAGAUCUUACCAAUUUGUUAAAGAUCUCCUUGAGGUCUUUCACGAGGAAAUCUUAUAGCUUCUGCCAUUAAUGCCAUGAGAUCUCUGACCUAGACUACUAGGACAGCAAUUUUAUGGGGCUAAACCAUAGGCUUACCCCAGAGAUAAGGCCAGUGCAGAAUUCAGAAAAUUAUUUUUUACGUGGCACCUCUUUCAAAUCAUGCCUGGUAUAAGGGCCCUCACACUUGCACUAGCUCUUUAAGGGUUACUAUUUCAGUCACAAGCUUUGCCCUGCAGUUCCACAAAGAUGCUGAAAAAAUGGUUCUCCCCAUUUCCAUAGCUGUACAGGUAUUAUCCAAGAAUGUCUGGUAUGGUGGUGGAUUCAAGAACAAAGGAAAGAAUGGGGCAGGGUUUUGGAUGAAUUUACCUGAUAUUUAGAGACUGCUUUUUUUCUUUCAAACUGAAACAAUUAUAAUUUUAUUUUAUUUAGGACAUGUUCAGAUAAUCACAAAUUUAAGGUAGUUAUUAAUAGUUAUAAGAUUAAAUUCUGUGUUAUAAAGUUAUCUAUAAUUAUUUUUGUCUAUUUUUGGAAACCAGUGACCUGCAAAGUUUGGGCAAGAGCUGUGGAUCCUGACUACUUUAUCAGGAAAACAACAGCAUUUCAGUGUCAAGAAACUGAGAAAACACAAAUUUUGCUUUGCUUAGAACAAGGUCUAUUAAAUUAAUGCCUGCAUUUGUUUUUAACCUAGUAGACUUUCUCUUCCCUCCACUCUCUCUUCUCCAUAUAUAGAAGUAUUCAACAGUUAUUAUAUAUUUGAAAUUCUUAGCUACCAGAAAGUAGCAUUAAUAGCUGGAAGUGCCUUUACAAAGGAAAUGUUCAUUAUUUUAUAGAUUGGAUAGACUUGGACUGUAAUUACAUACUCAAGAUCAUGAAGGAGACUCUUGAAAUUGUUUAGAAAUAAAGCUCUGAGCUACUUCCAAGCUUACGGCUGUUGUUGGUUUUGCCCUUUCCUAGAUGAUGUCAGACAAAUGAGGGAGUAAUAAGGAAUAAGGCAUCUAACUUUUAGACAAAUUGAACUCUAAAUUACCUAUAGCACUGACCAAGGAGACUUCAUCCUUAAGAACAAAAAACGUGAGAAAUCUGAGCUGGCUGUAGGAAGUAGUAUAGGACUUUGUGCUUUCUACCCAAAGAAAACCAAAGGUGGGACAGUCAAGCAAAUUACCACCUCCAUGAGGAACUGUGCUCUACCUGGUAACCUUUGUGGAAAGAGAUGAGUUACCAGAGCCCAACUUACAUGCAGUCACUCACAAAGC
ensembl:lncRNA